CCUACGGGUGGCAGCAGUGAGGAAUAUUGGUCAAUGGGCGCGAGCCUGAACCAGCCAAGUAGCGUGAAGGAUGACUGCCCUACGGGUUGUAAACUUCUUUUAUAAAGGAGUAAAGUGAGGCACGUGUGCCCUUUUGUAUGUACUCUAAGAAUAAGGAUCGGCUAACUUCGUGCCAGCAGCCGCGGUAAUACGGAGGAUCCGAGGGUUAUCCGGAUUUAUUGGGUUUAAAGGGAGCGUAGGUGGGUGGUUAAGUCAGUUGUGAAAGUUUGCGGCUCAAACCUAAAAUUGCCAUUGAUACUGGAAGUCUUGAGUGCAGGUGAAGUAGGCGGAAUUCGUGGUGUAGCGGUGAAAUGCUUAGAUAUCACGCAGAACUCCGAUUGCGAAGGCAGCUUACC
rnacentral:rRNA from 1 species